rnacentral:lncRNA from 1 species
AUGAAUCGUUCUCUUUCAAUCUAGCUUUAUGAUUGAAUCUCUACAGCCACAAACGAAUUCAGUUCUUUCGUAUUUCCUCCAUCAAUUGUUACUGGUCAUUCAUACCUGAUUCAAUACACCAAUUUAAUUCCGAGAUACAUUUCAUACCGGCAAUUAUUUAACAUCGAAUCCAUCAUGGAACUGGGUACUCAUUUGCAGAAGACAAUGGAGAAGGGGAAACCAAGCACGGCCUCCGGCCGGCCACCUGAAACUCGCAAUAACAAGGACAGAUACGUUUUUGCAGUUUGAUGCUCUAAUUGGUACUGUGAUUUCAAUUAUUCGCCUCAAUCCACAAAACUUUCUUUUGAAUUCGCUUGCUUUCCUCUGUUUCGGUUGAUUAAUCGAACACCCGUUUCGAUUUCACAGUGUUUGUUUUUGAAUUUUCAGUUUAGCCGAUUAGGGUUUUGGCAUGAUACUCAAGAGGAAGUUGAAAUAGACAAUUCUAAUUUAAUCAAGUGCAGUUUUUCCGACUAUGGUUCAAAGCAACAUUUGCACCUUUUCGAUAUAUAUGUGUUAUUGCUUAUUCUGUUUCUAAAUCUCUGAAAGAUAAGUCCAUUAAGCCUUCAAUUUAUGUUUUUUAUUCCUCCAGCAAAUUUCAAGGUUAAAUUGAGCAAAUUCAAGGUUAAGAUAGGGUUCCUCUCACUCUAUGAAUCCGCCGGUGAUGGUAGAAAUGGGUUUUGGCCUUUCAGCUAAAGAACCGAUGUUUGUGCAAGAUUCUGAAUUUUCAGGUUUUGAGUUUGUAUGAUUCGCAAAAAAAAACCAUACAAAUUCAAGUUUAUUGAUGGGUGAUGAUGGGUUUAACCAAACAUAAGCGACCAUUUACGUAACCCUAAAGCACAUCCCACUUGAAUCUGUACAGAGCGAUCUAUCUUCCGUCUAAUCAAGUUGUUGCGUGUUUGGAUCUUGAACGCAUAAACAGUAAUCUGGUAAUUCUAUUGCUAAUUAGCUACUUAUCUGUUGAUGUUCUACUUUUAUUUUAUUAUUUAUGUAAGGUUGGUUAGUCAAUGAUUCAAUUCAGGCUAUUUAGCUAAACAAUUAAUAACUGAAAAUUAGGGCCUUUUUGCUACUUUUUAAUUGAAUUUAUGUUUGAUUUAGGUUUCUGUUAGUGAUCGUAUGCACAGAUAAUUAUUGACUUUUUAGUUUUUACUAAUCCCACAUCAUGAUAUGUUUUUGUGUGACAUUAGUUGUGAAGCUGGAUGA